GACCCCAUCGUCUAGAGGCCCAGGACAUCGCCCUUUCACGGCGAUGACGGGGGUUCGAAUCCCCCUGGGGUCGCCA
rnacentral:tRNA from 1 species